AUUGAACGCUGGCGGCAUGCCUAAUACAUGCAAUUCGAACGAGUGGCGGACGGGUGAGUAAUGUCUGGGAAACUUCCCUAUGGAGGGGGAUAACUACUGGAAACGGUAGCUAAUACCGCAUCCCAUCGUAUGUGCUCAGAUGGGAUUAGCUUGUAGGUGAGGUAACGGCUCACCUAGGCGACGAUCCCUAGCUGGUCUUAGCGGGUGACCAGCGCAACGGGAAAUGAGACACGGUCCAGACGCCUCCGGGAGGAAGCAGGUGGGAAGAUUGCGCAAUGGGGGCAAGCAUGAUGCAGCAACGCUGGGGGUAUGAAGAAGGCCGUAGGGUUGUAAAGUCAUGUCAGCAGGGAGGCGUUACCCGCUCAGCAAGCACCUGCGAACUCCGUGCCAGCAGCCGCGGUAAUAC
rnacentral:rRNA from 1 species